CCCUGGCUCAGGACGAACGCUGGCGGCGUGCCUAAUACAUGCAAGUCGAGCGGGUUUAUCCUUCGGGAUAAGCUAGCGGCGGACGGGUGAGUAACACGUAGGUAACCUGCCUUUAAGACUGGGAUAACUAUCGGAAACGAUAGCUAAGACCGGAUAACUGGUUUUCUCGCAUGGGAGAAUCAUAAAACACGGAGCAAUCUGUGGCUUGAAGAUGGGCCUGCGGCGCAUUAGCUAGUUGGUGAGGUAACGGCUCACCAAGGCGACGAUGCGUAGCCGACCUGAGAGGGUGAACGGCCACACUGGGACUGAGACACGGCCCAGACUCCUACGGGAGGCAGCAGUAGGGAAUCUUCCGCAAUGGACGCAAGUCUGACGGAGCAACGCCGCGUGAGUGAUGAAGGUUUUCGGAUCGUAAAGCUCUGUUGCCCUAGACGAACAGCAUGAGGAGUAACUGCCUUGUGUGUGACGGUAUAGGAGAAGAAAGCCCCGGCUA
rnacentral:rRNA from 1 species